rnacentral:rRNA from 1 species
UACGGAGGAUGCGAGCGUUAUCCGGAUUUAUUGGGUUUAAAGGGUGCGUAGGCGGACUGUCAAGUCAGCGGUAAAAUUGAGAGGCUCAACCUCUUCCCGCCGUUGAAACUGGUGGUCUUGAGUGGAUGAGAAGUACGCGGAAUGCGUGGUGUAGCGGUGAAAUGCAUAGAUAACACGCAGAACUCCGAUUGCGAAGGCAGCGUACCGGCAUCCAACUGACGCUGAGGCACGAAAGCGUGGGGAUCAAACUGG